UACAGGGGAGGCAAGCGUUGUUCGGAAUUACUGGGCGUAAAGGGCUCGUAGGCGGCCAAUUAAGUCCGACGUGAAAUCCCCAGGCUUAACCUGGGAACUGCGUCGGAUACUGAUUGGCUUGAAUCCGGGAGAGGGAUGCGGAAUUCCAGGUGUAGCGGUGAAAUGCGUAGAUAUCAGGAGGAACACCGGUGGCGAAGGCGGGUCUCUGGGCCGACAUUGACGCUGAGGAGCGAAAGCGUGGGGAGCGAACAGG
rnacentral:rRNA from 1 species